AGGACGAACGCUGGCGGCGUGCUUAACACAUGCAAGUCGAGCGGAAAGGCCCUUCGGGGUACUCGAGCGGCGAACGGGUGAGUAACACGUGAGCAACCUGCCCUUAGCUUCGGGAUAGCUCCGGGAAACCGGAAUUAAUACCGAAUAUGACUUUGGCUGACAUCAGCAGAAGUGGAAAGUUUUUCGGCUAGGGAUGGACUCGCGGCCUAUCAGCUAGUUGGUGAGGUAACGGCCCACCAAGGCGACGACGGGUAGCCGGCCUGAGAGGGCGACCGGCCACACUGGGACUGAGACACGGCCCAGACUCCUACGGGAGGCAGCAGUGGGGAAUAUUGCGCAAUGGGCGAAAGCCUGACGCAGCGACGCCGCGUGGGGGAUGAAUGCCGUUCGGGUUGUAAACCCCUUUCAGCAGGACGAAGCGAAAGUGACGGUACCUGCAGAAGAAGCGCCGGCUAACUACGUGCCAGCACGCCGC
rnacentral:rRNA from 1 species